UACAGAUGAGAAACCUGUGCCAGGCUUAGAAACAAAGCGAUGUGUUUCCAGUGCCCAAGAUGGUAAGUACUCUGUGCAAAGUUCAGAAGCGACAUGCCAUUGCAAGGGUAGCUGACUAAGCCACUGCCCUCAGGAGAUCAGAGAUUUGGACCAUAGACCCAAUAACUGUUUCUUGUCUUUUACCCAGGGGCUGAAUACUCCCAGGAGAUACAUUAUGUUGCUCCCGUGUUCCAGCAGGUGGCACCAAGAGAUCAGAGUGAACCACAGUUUGGGAUAGGAGACACAGUUGAAAUGGAAAACAGUAAUAAUUCUAAAGGCGGAUAUGUCUAUUCUGAACUUGUCUUCUGAGAUUUAACGAUGUAGGCUACAUCUCAAGGUUUUCUUACAAUCUGGAGACCAGACAACUACUGCUGCUACUGUUAGCGUUGUUGCCUUCAAUACAACUGCCUCACCCAGAAACUGGAGCCCAGUGGAGGGUGGAAUUCUGCCAUUAGCGACACUUGCUUUUCAGCGGAAAUCAUCAUCUCCCAUCUCCUUUCCAGGUCCUAUGGACGUGCGUCUAAUUGGUGGAAGAUAUUCACAGUCAUACCCUGGCAGCAAGGGAAUUGCAAUUUUUCAGGUCUCAGGCCCCACGAAAUAGAAGAAGGGUUAUGAUGUGGCUUAAGAGAAUCAACCAAAAUAACUACCACUUUAGCCAAAAUACCAAUCAAGACUGAGGGGAAAAUAAACACAUUUUAAGACAAAGGAGGAGGUUUCUCAAUCGCAUUCACACAGAGUGAAUCACACAAUGUACUACAUGAAAAAGGAAACUGAAUACAGAUUCAAGAAGCAUGCGUGUGUGGCGGGGCGAGGAAUGAGAAACGGAGGUAUAUGAGGUUUGAAAACAUUAUAAAAUUAGCAGGAUUUUGAAGGUGUGCUAUGAGUAUAUGGCUAAACAAGUAG
rnacentral:lncRNA from 1 species